GAUCAUGGCUCAGGAUGAACGCUAGCGACAGGCUUAACACAUGCAAGUCGAGGGGCAUCAUGAGGUAGCAAUACCUUGAUGGCGACCGGCGCACGGGUGAGUAACGCGUAUGCAACCUGCCCGAUACCGGGGUAUAGCCCAUGGAAACGUGGAUUAACACCCCAUAGUACUUUUAUCCUGCAUGGGAUAGGAGUUAAAUGUUCAAGGUAUCGGAUGGGCAUGCGUCCUAUUAGUUAGG
rnacentral:rRNA from 1 species